GUAGGGAAUCUUCCACAAUGGACGCAAGUCUGAUGGAGCAACGCCGCGUGAGUGAAGAAGGUCUUCGGAUCGUAAAGCUCUGUUGUUGGUGAAGAAGGAUAGAGGCAGUAACUGGUCUUUAUUUGACGGUAAUCAACCAGAAAGUCACGGCUAACUACGUGCCAGCAGCCGCGGUAAUACGUAGGUGGCAAGCGUUGUCCGGAUUUAUUGGGCGUAAAGCGAGCGCAGGCGGAAUGAUAAGUCUGAUGUGAAAGCCCACGGCUCAACCGUGGAACUGCAUCGGAAACUGUCAUUCUUGAGUGCAGAAGAGGAGAGUGGAACUCCAUGUGUAGCGGUGGAAUGCGUAGAUAUAUGGAAGAACACCAGUGGCGAAGGCGGCUCCCUGGUCUGCAACUGACGCUGAGGCUCGAAAGCAUGGGUAGCGAACAGGAUUAGAAACCCGGGUAGUCC
rnacentral:rRNA from 1 species